rnacentral:rRNA from 1 species
GGCAGCAGUGGGGAAUUUUGGACAAUGGGCGCAAGCCUGAUCCAGCCAUGCCGCGUGAGUGAAGAAGGCCUUCGGGUUGUAAAGCUCUUUCAGACGGAAAGAAAUCGCGCGCUCUAACAUAGCGUGUGGAUGACGGUACCGUAAGAAGAAGCACCGGCUAACUACGUGCCAGCAGCCGCGGUAAUACGUAGGGUGCGAGCGUUAAUCGGAAUUACUGGGCGUAAAGCGUGCGCAGGCGGUGAUGUAAGACAGAUGUGAAAUCCCCGGGCUCAACCUGGGAACUGCGUUUGUGACUGCAUCACUCGAGUACGGCAGAGGGAGGUGGAAUUCCACGUGUAGCAGUGAAAUGCGUAGAGAUGUGGAGGAACACCGAUGGCGAAGGCAGCCUCCUGGGCCAGUACUGACGCUCAUGCACGAAAGCGUGGGGAGCAAACCAGGAUUAGAUACCCUGGUAGUCCACGCCCUAAACGAUGUCAACUAGUUGUUCGGUGAGGAGACUCAUUGAGUAACGCAGCUAACGCGUGAAGUUGACCGCCUGGGGAGUACGGCCGCAAGGUUAAAACUCAAAGGAAUUGACGG